rnacentral:lncRNA from 1 species
GCCAGAAGACAUCUCUCAAAGUCUUUCAGCGAAAGAUCCGAAAGUUCUUAUAACCCGGUAUGCGUUCGUUAUGAGAUGAACGUACAAGACUACAAUGCUACUUGGUUAGAAAAGUGGGCUGAUGUGUUUCCUGACUAUGCUGAUGAUCCGGAUAUCUACAAGAGGCAUCGCCACUGGACUCAAUUUUAAAUAUCAGCAUGUAUGUUGGACUUUAAAUAUAUGUAAUUAAUUGUAUUAUUUUUUAAUUUUUACGUUACUACUUGAUUUGAAAAUAUUUUAUGUUGUUCAUUUUAUGAUUUGUAUGGUUUUAAAGCAAUAAGAUGUGUCAUCUAGGUUAAAUCGAGAUCAUAGAAACAUCAAAAAAAUCAACAAAAUAUCAUAUUAGACUUAAAAUCAUUUAGAAAGUUCAAAAAGAGUUAUUACCAAUUAAAUAUUCUUGAAAACUCAAAAAAAUGGGCGUGCCUCGGGCGCUGACCAGUACAAGUGCCAAUACUAAUUCGGCGGACCUUGGGUGCAACCAACAAAUACUAUGACCAUCUAGUCCAUACCAAACAUCGAAGGAGCCAGCAGAUUCUUGGGCGAAAACUGCAUAUUGGAGGUUUUCGACAGA